AAGUUACUUAAUGGCCCAGUUUCUUCCUGUUGCUGUCACAUUUGAUUGAACCAAAGUAGGUAAAAAUUCUUUUGUUUCAAAAAGCAUCCACAAGAAAGAAGUGUGGAUGAAGCAUCACUUCCCCAUAACGCAAAGAAAAAGAAGAAAGGAACUUCCAAUUUCUCUACUGCUUGAUAGUGGAGAUGGAUUGGUUCUACACACAUCAAAUCAGACAUGAAGGCAUAAAAGCAAUGCUUCUACAUGAUACUAUAUGCAACCAAUGAGCUUGUUCGCAAAAACGAUACAUACACGUGCUCGAUCUAUAAACUAAUGAAAUAAGAACAAGGGAGAAAUUCCCUACUUUUUUCAUUUCAA